rnacentral:tRNA from 1 species
GCGGGAAUAGCUCAGCGGUAGAGCAUCGCCUUGCCAAGGCGAGGGUCGAGGGUUCAAAUCCCUUUUCCCGCUCCAAUU